rnacentral:rRNA from 1 species
AGCCUGAUCCAGCCAUGCCGCGUGCAGGAAGACGGCCUUCUGGGUUGUAAACUGCUUUUGCCAGGGGAUAAAAAGUCCCUGCGGGGAAAAUUGAAGGUACCUGGUGAAUAAGCCACGGCUAACUACGUGCCAGCAGCCGCGGUAAUACGUAGGUGGCAAGCGUUGUCCGGAUUUAUUGGGUUUAAAGGGUGCGUAGGUUGUGUUGUAAGUCAGUGGUGAAAUCCGGCAGCUUAACUGUCGAUGUGCCAUUGAUACUGCAGCACUUGAGUACAGACGAGGUAGGCGGAAUUGACGGUGUAGCGGUGAAAUGCUUAGAUAUCGUCAAGAACACCGAUAGCGAAGGCAGCUUACUAGACUGUAACUGACACUGAUGCACGAAAGUGUGGGGAUCAAACAGGAUUAGAUACCCUGGUAGUCCACACUGUAAACGAUGAUUACUCGAUGUUGGCGAUACACAGCCAGCGUCUUAGCGAAAGCGAUAAGUAAUCCACCUGGG